CUGUAACAAAACACACUGUUACGGGGUUGAAUCAUUGUAGCUCUUAAGCCAGUAAACCACUUUUUUUUCUCUGUUAUUUCAUGUUCAGUAUUUUCUCAUAACAGGUCCAGCACUUCCUCCUCUGCUGGCUCCGCCCUUUCCAGCAGGACACCAGAUGGAUCUCAUCACUGAUUAGCAGCAUGUGCUUCAACUCUGUGUACCAGGAGCCAACAUGAUAAAGAGGCUUGAGAAGAUGUUUUCUGUAAAAACAAAACAAAACUCUGGACUGUGUAAGAAAGGAUACGUAUUAGAAUACUGAAGAGGCAGCCGUGUUUUCCCCUGAGAAGACUCAGACUGAAUUAGACUGAGUGCAAACUGAAGUGAAGUGGAAACUGAAGCUGAACUAAAGCAAAUACUUAAGGACUGCUGGGGUGAAGGCUGAAGAAAAGUCAAAGGAAAGCAAAAGCAAAACUAAACAAAAAAAAGGGGGCAAUCUCAAAGCUAAGCUCAAAGUUAAAGCAAAAUCAAGAACAAAGAAGAAAGAAAA